rnacentral:rRNA from 1 species
GUGCCAGCAGCCGCGGUAAUACAUAGGGGGCAAGCGUUAUCCGGAAUUAUUGGGCGUAAAGAGUGCGUAGGCGGACUGAUAAGUCAUUUGUAAAAGAUCUCGGCUUAACCGAGUAAGGCGAAUGAGACUGUCAAUCUUGAGUAUGGUAGAGGUAAGCGGAAUUUCAAGUGUAGCGGUGGAAUGCGUAGAUAUUUGAAGGAACACCGAUGGCGAAGGCAGCUUACUGGGCCAGAACUGACGCUGAGGCACGAAAGCGUGGGUAGCAAACAGGAUUAGAUACCCUGGUAGUCCACGCCGUAAACGCUGAGAACUAAGUGUUGGGGUAACACUCAGCGCUGCAGUUAACGCAAUAAGUUCUCCGCCUGGGUAGUACGGUCGCAAGACUGAAACUCAAAGGAAUUGACGGGACCCCGCACAAGCGGUGGAGUAUGUUGUUUAAUUCGAGGAUACACGAAGAACCUUACCAGGUCUUGACAUACCAUUGAUGGCAGUAGAGAUAUUGUGUUCCCUUCGGGGACAAUGGAUACAGGUGGUGCAUGGUUGUCGUCACCUCGUGCCGUGAGGUGUUGGGUUAAGUCCCAAAACGAGCCCCACCCUUAUUGUUAGUUACUACUAUUAAGUUAAGGACUCUAGUGAGACUGCCACCAACAAACUGGAGGAAGGCGGGGAUGACCUCAAAUCAUCAUGCCCUUUAUGACCUGGGCUACAAACGUACUACAAUGGCCA